UACGGAGGAUGCAAGCGUUAUCCGGAUUUAUUAGGUUUAAAGGGUGCGUAGGCGGCCCGGUAAGUCAGUGGUGAAAUCCCGCAGCUCAACUGCGGAACUGCCAUUGAUACUGUCGGGCUUGAGUACGGUCGAGGUAGGCGGAAUGUGUAAUGUAGCGGUGAAAUGCUUAGAUAUUACACAGAACACCGAUUGCGUAGGCAGCUUACUAGACCGGUACUGACGCUGAGGCACGAAAGCGUGGGUAUCGAACAGG
rnacentral:rRNA from 1 species